rnacentral:rRNA from 1 species
UGAUGACGAGACGCUAAGGCGUUGAAGCAGUAUGUCAGACUUCCAAGAAAAGCUCGCAAUGUCACUAAUAAAAAAUGCCUGUACCAUAACCGACACAGGUGGGUAGGUAGAGUAUACUAAGGGGCGCGAGAUAACUCUCUCUAAGGAACUCGGCAAAAUGACUCCGUAACUUCGGGAGAAGGAGUGCCUUAUUUAUAAGGUUGCUAUAACAAGAUCCAAGCAACUGUUUAUCAAAAACACAGGUCUCCGCUAAGUCGUAAGACGAUGUAUGGGGGCUGACGCCUGCCCAGUGCCAGAAGGUUAAAGAAGUUGGUUAGUGUAUGCGAAGCUGAUGACUGAAGCCCUGGUGAACGGCGGCCGUAACAAUAACGGUCCUAAGGUAGCGAAACUCCUUGUCGGGUAAGUUCCGACCCGCACGAAAGGCGUAAUGAUUUGGAUACUGUCUCGGAGAGAGGCUCGGUGAAAUAGACUUGUCUGUGAAGAUGCGGACUACCUGCACCAGGACAGAAAGACCCUAUGAAGCUUUACUGUAACUUGAAAUUGGAAUUGGACUUUGCUUGCGCAGUAUAGGUGGGAAGCGUUGAAAAUAUUCUUGCGGGAGUAUUGGAGCUAUCAGUGAGAUACCACUCUUGUAAUGUUAGAUUUCUAACUUUGAACCAUAAUCUGGUCAAAGAACAGUUUCAGGUGGGCAGUUUGACUGGGGCGGUCGCCUCCCAAAUGGUAACGGAGGCGUACAAAGGUUUCCUCUGAACGGAUAGAAAUCGUAUCUAGAGUGUAAAGGCAUAAGGAAGCUUGACUGUGAGACCUACAAGUCGAGCAGGGACGAAAGUCGGUCUUAGUGAUCUGACGGUACUGAGUGGAAAGGCCGUCACUCAACGGAUAAAAGUUACUCUAGGGAUAACAGGCUGAUCUCCCCCAAGAGUUCACAUCGACGGGGAGGUUUGGCACCUCGAUGUCGGCUCAUCGCAUCCUGGGGCGGUAGUACGUCCCAAGGGUUGGGCUGUUCGCCCAUGAAAGCGGUACGCGAGCUGGGUUCAGAACGUCGUGAGACAGUUCGGUCCAUAUCCGGUGUAGGCGCUAGAAUAUUGAGAGGAGCCUUCUUUAGUACGAGAGGACCGAGAAGGACACACCGCUGGUGUACCAGUUAUCGUGCCAACGGUAAACGCUGGGUAGCUAUGUGUGGAGUGGAUAACCGCUGAAAGCAUCUAAGUGGGAAGCCCACCUCGAGAUGAGUAUUCUC